GACAGAGGAUGCAAGCGUUAUCCGGAAUGAUUGGGCGUAAAGCGUCUGUAGGUGGCUUUUUAAGUCCGCCGUCAAAUCCCAGGGCUCAACCCUGGACAGGCGGUGGAAACUACCAAGCUGGAGUACGGUAGGGGCAGAGGGAAUUUCCGGUGUAGCAGUGAAAUGCGUAGAGAUCGGGAGGAACACCUGUGGCGAAGGCGGCCAGCUGGGCCGGACCUGACGCUGAGACGCGAAGGCGUGGGGAGCGAACGGG
rnacentral:rRNA from 1 species